CGUUGAAUUGAACGGGGACACCCGCACCUGCCGGAGACUGAGGGGAAGGAGAGGCGCAGGCUGCGCUCUCCUCCCCUCACACACACACAAACAGCUUAUUCGCCUUUGUACAGCACAGUAUGUGUCUGCAUUAAUUCAUCAAUCUUCAAGAUAUAUACCCCUGAAGAAGUCCUGUGAGGAUGAAACUCGUAGGAUACAGAUGAUUUGUUUAAUUGCCCCAUUGGAAGCUUCCCAUCUUUGAGCAGUGGUAUAGGUGGAUUAUAUGUCAUCUCUCCUUUAGUAGCACUUUUAUAGACACCAUAUUAUAGGUGGAAG